CACCUCUAGCAUUUCCAGUAUUAGAGGCACUGUCUGCCCAGUGACAUCUGUUUAAACGGCCGCGGUAUCCUAACCGUGCAAAGGUAGCAUAAUCACUUGUUCCCUAAAUAGGGACUUGUAUGAAUGGCCACACGAGGGUUUUACUGUCUCUUACUUCCAAUCAGUGAAAUUGACCUUCCCGUGAAGAGGCGGGAAUGACUAAAUAAGACGAGAAGACCCUAUGGAGCUUUAAUUAACUGAUUCACAAAAAACAACACACAAACCUAACCUUCAGGGACAACAAAACUUUUGAUUGAAUCAGCAAUUUCGGUUGGGGUGACCUCGGAGAACAAAACAACCUCCGAGUGAUUUAAAUCCAGACUAACCAGUCAAAAUAUAUAAUCACUUAUUGAUCCAAACCAUUGAUCAACGGAACAAGUUACCCUAGGGAUAACAGCGCAAUCCUAUUCCAGAGUCCAUAUCGACAAUUAGGGUUUACGACCUCGAUGUUGGAUCAAGACAUCCUAAUGGUGCAACCGCUAUUAAGGGUUCGUUUGUUCAACGAUUAAAGUCUU
rnacentral:rRNA from 1 species